GCAGUUCUGGCAGUUCAUGGCAAAGCUCUGACUCAUUGAAUGAGCACCAAACGGAGGGAGUGUGUACUAUGGGUUGCACCUGUUAGAGGUGCAGACCACACUCUCCUCCACUGGACCAGGGACCCCAGGGAACCUGCUAGCACUCACUGGAUCACCAGGUAUUAAACUGCCCUACAUGCAUAAAGGUAAGCAGGAUGGGGUUUAACAAUAGACACAGUCAUACUCCCACACACUAUCACAAUCAACCAACUACCCACACAAUCACAUUCAACCACUUCCACACAAUCACAUUCAACCACUUCCACAGUCAGCAAUCCACACAUACAAUCAAACUGACACAUAAGGCGAAGGAGGGCUAAAAUGGGCAGGGAGUAGAGGGGAGGAAUGAAAGAAAGGUUUGAGGGACUUUCA